UACGAAGGGGGCUAGCGUUGUUCGGAAUUACUGGGCGUAAAGGGCGCGUAGGCGGCUUAUCAAGUCAGGCGUGAAAGCCCCGGGCUUAACCUGGGAACUGCGCUUGAGACUGUUAGGCUUGAGUACCGGAGAGGUAGGUGGAAUUCCCAGUGUAGAGGUGAAAUUCGUAGAUAUUGGGAAGAACACCAGUGGCGAAGGCGGCCUACUGGACGGUAACUGACGCUGAGGCGCGAAAGCGUGGGGAG
rnacentral:rRNA from 1 species